AAAAAGGUGAUCGUGAUGAAAUAAUACAAUAUCCUUAAAGUAAACAGAAGAAAAGGUGGGAUCUGAUAGUUCGCUUUCAAAAUAAUUUGUUUCCUCCUGUAAAGCAGCCGGAAGUCACUGUUAUUCUCUGGAGCGUCCACGCCCCCAGCAGGAACAGAAGGGGCGUCGCCGGAAGUGACGACACCGAAGACGCCAUUAAAAAGCAGUAGGCCGGAUUCCCCCGCUCUCUUGGCCUUAGCGCCAUCUUCCUCGAAACUCCUGCGCCAUGAGAGCGAAGUGGCGGAAGAAGCGAAUGCGCAGG